GUCUAUCGGUUAGGACGCCAGGUUUUCAACCUGGAAAGAGGGGUUCGAUUCCCCU
rnacentral:tRNA from 1 species